rnacentral:rRNA from 1 species
AACGAACGCUGGCGGCAUGCCUAACACAUGCAAGUCGAACGAGACCUUCGGGUCUAGUGGCGCACGGGUGCGUAACGCGUGGGAACCUUCCCUUAGGUUCGGAAUAACUCCCCGAAAGGGGUGCUAAUACCGGAUAAUGUCUUCGGACCAAAGAUUUAUCGCCUUUGGAUGGGCCCGCGGUGGAUUAGCUAGUUGGUAGGGUAAAAGCCUACCAAGGCGACGAUCCAUAGCUGGUCUGAGAGGAUGAUCAGCCACACUGGGACUGAGACACGGCCCAGACUCCUACGGGAGGCAGCAGUGGGGAAUAUUGGACAAUGGGCGAAAGCCUGAUCCAGCAAUGCCGCGUGAGUGAUGAAGGCCUUAGGGUUGUAAAGCUCUUUUACCCGGGAUGAUAAUGACAGUACCGGGAGAAUAAGCUCCGGCUAACUACGUG